rnacentral:rRNA from 1 species
UACAGAGGGUGCGAGCGUUGUUCGGAAUCAUUGGGCGUAAAGCGCUUGUAGGCGGCCUGUCAAGUCGCGUGUGAAAUCCCUUGGCUUAACCAAGGAAGUGCGCGCGAAAACUGGCGGGCUUGGAGUGCCGGAGAGGGUCGCGGAAUUCCCGGUGUAGAGGUGAAAUGCGUAGAUAUCUGGAGGAACACCGGUGGCGAAGGCGGCAUCCUGGACCGACACUGACGCUGAGGAGCGAAAGCCAGGGGAGCAAAGCGGG